AGGCAGCAGUGGGGAAUCUUGCACAAUGGGGGAAACCCUGAUGCAGCGACGCCGCGUGAGUGAUGAAGCCCUUCGGGGUGUAAAGCUCUUUCGGCAGGGACGAUAAUGACGGUACCUGAAGAAGAAGCUGCGGCUAACUACGUGCCAGCAGCCGCGGUAAUACGUAGGCAGCGAGCGUUGUUCGGAGUUACUGGGCGUAAAGAGUGCGUAGGCGGUUUUAUAAGUUUGGUGUGAAAUCUCCCGGCUUAACUGGGAGGGUGCGCCGAAGACUGGAAGGCUUGAGUAUGGGAGAGGUAAGCGGAAUUCCUGGUGUAGCGGUGAAAUGCGUAGAUAUCAGGAGGAACACCUGCGGUGUAGACGGCUUACUGGACCAUAACUGACGCUGAGGCACGAAAGCGUGGGUAGCAAACAGGAUUAGAUACCCUGGUAGUCCACGCCCUAAACGAUGCAUACUUGGUGUGGGUAGUUCAUUCUAUCCGUGCCGGAGCUAACGCG
rnacentral:rRNA from 1 species